UGGGGAAUAUUGCACAAUGGGCGCAAGCCUGAUGCAGCCAUGCCGCGUGUAUGAAGAAGGCCUUCGGGUUGUAAAGUACUUUCAGCGGGGAGGAAGGCGACGCGGUUAAUAACCGCGUCGAUUGACGUUACCCGCAGAAGAAGCACCGGCUAACUCCGUGCCAGCAGCCGCGGUAAUACGGAGGGUGCAAGCGUUAAUCGGAAUUACUGGGCGUAAAGCGCACGCAGGCGGUCUGUCAAGUCAGAUGUGAAAUCCCCGGGCUUAACCUGGGAACUGCAUUUGAAACUGGCAGGCUAGAGUCUUGUAGAGGGGGGUAGAAUUCCAGGUGUAGCGGUGAAAUGCGUAGAGAUCUGGAGGAAUACCGGUGGCGAAGGCGGCCCCCUGGACAAAGACUGACGCUCAGGUGCGAAAGCGUGGGGAGCAAACAGG
rnacentral:rRNA from 1 species